rnacentral:rRNA from 1 species
GAUGAACGCUGGCGGCAUGCCUAACACAUGCAAGUCGAUCGGUAAGGCUCUUCGGAGUACACGAGAGGCGGACGGCUGAGUAACGCGUAGGAACACACCCUGCAGUGAGGGAUAAGACACCGAAAGGUGUUCUAAUACCGCAUACGGUCUUCGGAUUAAAGCAUUUAUGCGCUGAAGGAGUGGCCUGCGUCAUAUUAGAUAGUUGGUGAGGUAAUGGCUCACCAAGUCGAUGAUGUGUAGCUGGUCUGAGAGGAUGAUCAGCCAGACUGGAACUGAGACACGGUCCAGACUCCUACGGGAGGCAGCAGUGAGGAAUAUUUCACAAUGAGCGAAAGCUUGAUGGGGCAAUGCCGCGUGCAGGAUGAAGGCCCUCGGGUUGUAAACUGCUUUUAUAAGAGAAGAUUAUGACGGUAACUUAUGAAUAAGAGACGGCUAACUACGUG